CUCACGUGAGUAGAUCUUGUGUUUGUUGUUCGUAGAACAUUUGGCAGGCCUGUGCAUGCAGCAAAAUCAACAUCAAGCUCAACAUCAGAGUCAUUACUAUCAUCAUCAUCAAGCCCAAGACGUGCAAACCUACUACCCAAACUACAUUGGUAGAACCAGAAUCAGUGCCAUCUUGUUGUGUGCCCAGUAGUUUACAAAUAUCUGCAAACAACUGUGAAUUUUCUGAUGCAUAGAGAAAGUC